GGGUUGUGAGGUUAAGCGACUAAGCGUACACGGUGGAUGCCCUGGCAGUCAGAGGCGAUGAAGGACGUGCUAAUCUGCGAAAAGCGUCGGUAAGGUGAUAUGAACCGUUAUAGCCGGCGAUGUCCGAAUGGGGAAACCCAGUGUGAUUCGUCACACUAUCGUUAACUGAAUACAUAGGUUAACGAGGCGAACCGGGGGAACUGAAACAUCUAAGUACCCCGAGGAAAAGAAAUCAACCGAGAUUCCCCCAGUAGCGGCGAGCGAACGGGGAGCAGCCCAGAGUCUGAAUCAGCUUGUGUGUUAGUGGAACGGUCUGGAAAGUCCGACGGUACAGGGUGAUAGUCCCGUACACCAAAAUGCACAGGCUGUGAACUCGAAGAGUAGGGCGGGACACGUGGUAUCCUGUCUGAAUAUGGGGGGACCAUCCUCCAAGGCUAAAUACUCCUGACUGACCGAUAGUGAACCAGUACCGUGAGGGAAAGGCGAAAAGAACCCCGGCGAGGGGAGUGAAAAAGAACCUGAAACCGUGUACGUACAAGCAGUGGGAGCACCUUCGGGUGUGACUGCGUACCUUUUGUAUAAUGGGUCAGCGACUUAUAUUCUGUAGCAAGGUUAACCGUAUAGGGGAGCCGCAGGGAAACCGAGUCUUAACUGGGCGUUAAGUUGCAGGGUAUAGACCCGAAACCCGGUGAUCUAGCCAUGGGCAGGUUGAAGGUUGGGUAACACUAACUGGAGGACCGAACCGACUAAUGUUGAAAAAUUAGCGGAUGACUUGUGGCUGGGGGUGAAAGGCCAAUCAAACCGGGAGAUAGCUGGUUCUCCCCGAAAGCUAUUUAGGUAGCGCCUCGUGAACUCAUCUUCGGGGGUAGAGCACUGUUUCGGCUAGGGGGUCAUCCCGACUUACCAACCCGAUGCAAACUACGAAUACCGAAGAAUGUUAUCACGGGAGACACACGGCGGGUGCUAACGUCCGUCGUGAAGAGGGAAACAACCCAGACCGCCAGCUAAGGUCCCAAAGUCAUGGUUAAGUGGGAAACGAUGUGGGAAGGCACAGACAGCCAGGAUGUUGGCUUAGAAGCAGCCAUCAUUUAAAGAAAGCGUAAUAGCUCACUGGUCGAGUCGGCCUGCGCGGAAGAUGUAACGGGGCUAAACCAUGCACCGAAGCUGCGGCAGCGACACUAUGUGUUGUUGGGUAGGGGAGCGUUCUGUAAGCCUGCGAAGGUGACCUGUGAGGGUUGCUGGAGGUAUCAGAAGUGCGAAUGCUGACAUAAGUAACGAUAAAGCGGGUGAAAAGCCCGCUCGCCGGAAGACCAAGGGUUCCUGUCCAACGUUAAUCGGGGCAGGGUGAGUCGACCCCUAAGGCGAGGCCGAAAGGCGUAGUCGAUGGGAAACAGGUUAAUAUUCCUGUACUUGGUGUUACUGCGAAGGGGGGACGGAGAAGGCUAUGUUAGCCGGGCGACGGUUGUCCCGGUUUAAGCAUGUAGGCUGAUUGUCCAGGCAAAUCCGGAUAAUCAAGGCUGAGGUGUGAUGACGAGGCACUACGGUGCUGAAGUAACAAAUGCCCUGCUUCCAGGAAAAGCCUCUAAGCAUCAGGUAACAUCAAAUCGUACCCCAAACCGACACAGGUGGUCAGGUAGAGAAUACCAAGGCGCUUGAGAGAACUCGGGUGAAGGAACUAGGCAAAAUGGUGCCGUAACUUCGGGAGAAGGCACGCUGGUGUGUAGGUGAAGCCCCUGCGGGUGGAGCUGAGACCAGUCGAAGAUACCAGCUGGCUGCAACUGUUUAUUAAAAACACAGCACUGUGCAAACACGAAAGUGGACGUAUACGGUGUGACGCCUGCCCGGUGCCGGAAGGUUAAUUGAUGGGGUUAUCCGUAAGGAGAAGCUCUUGAUCGAAGCCCCGGUAAACGGCGGCCGUAACUAUAACGGUCCUAAGGUAGCGAAAUUCCUUGUCGGGUAAGUUCCGACCUGCACGAAUGGCGUAAUGAUGGCCAGGCUGUCUCCACCCGAGACUCAGUGAAAUUGAACUCGCUGUGAAGAUGCAGUGUACCCGCGGCAAGACGGAAAGACCCCGUGAACCUUUACUAUAGCUUGACACUGAACAUUGAGCCUUGAUGUGUAGGAUAGGUGGGAGGCUUUGAAGCGUGGACGCCAGUCUGCGUGGAGCCAACCUUGAAAUACCACCCUUUAAUGUUUGAUGUUCUAACGUUGGCCCCUGACCGGGGUUGCGGACAGUGUCUGGUGGGUAGUUUGACUGGGGCGGUCUCCUCCCAAAGCGUAACGGAGGAGCACGAAGGUUAGCUAAUCCUGGUCGGACAUCAGGAGGUUAGUGCAAUGGCAUAAGCUAGCUUGACUGCGAGCGUGACGGCGCGAGCAGGUGCGAAAGCAGGUCAUAGUGAUCCGGUGGUUCUGAAUGGAAGGGCCAUCGCUCAACGGAUAAAAGGUACUCCGGGGAUAACAGGCUGAUACCGCCCAAGAGUUCAUAUCGACGGCGGUGUUUGGCACCUCGAUGUCGGCUCAUCACAUCCUGGGGCUGAAGUAGGUCCCAAGGGUAUGGCUGUUCGCCAUUUAAAGUGGUACGCGAGCUGGGUUUAGAACGUCGUGAGACAGUUCGGUCCCUAUCUGCCGUGGGCGCUGGAGAAUUGAGGGGGGCUGCUCCUAGUACGAGAGGACCGGAGUGGACGCAUCACUGGUGUUCGGGUUGUCAUGCCAAUGGCACUGCCCGGUAGCUAAAUGCGGAAGAGAUAAGUGCUGAAAGCAUCUAAGCACGAAACUUGCCCCGAGAUGAGUUCUCCCUGAGACUUUAAGUCUCCUGAAGGAACGUUAAAGACGAUGACGUUGAUAGGCCGGGUGUGUAAGCGCAGCGAUGCGUUGAGCUAACCGGUACUAAUGAACCGUGAGGCUUAACCUUACAACGCCGAAG
rnacentral:rRNA from 1 species